GUCGUUUCCCGGCAUGCCUCGCGGCUGGGCGGGCCGCGAGCGCGCUGUGGCGGCGCAAUGGCGGGCGCGGGCAGCAGCUCGGACGUGUUUGACGCUAUCGUGAUGGCCGAGGAGAGGUUCCAUGGUGAGGGCUAUCGGGAGGGGUAUGCUGAAGGCAGUCACAUCGGGGUUGCUGAGGGCAGGAGGUAUGGAUCACUCCAUGGUGCCAAGGUGGGAUCUGAGAUUGGCUGCUACCUUGGGUUUGCACUGACAUGGCAGUCUCUCCUCCAGAAAUGCACAGAUGAAAAGAACAGCAAAAAGCUGAGGGCUCUGAAUUCAUUAAUAGGGAUGAUUCAGAAAUUCCCAUAUGAAGACCCCACUUAUGAGAAGCUACAAGAAGAUAUGGAAAAAAUCAGAGGAAAAUUCAAACAGAAACCUUGUCUGCUGCCUUUGCUUCCAAGCCGACUGAGCCCAAGCAGCUGGAGGCCCUGUCUUCACUCAUGGCAGAGUUAUCUCAUCCCUCUGGCUCAGCUAAUCAAGAGAGAGGUGGAACUGCACACAGAAUCAAUUACCUGAUUUUUCAUUCUGCUGCUGCUUUCAUGGAAAACAAGUCUAUGGAGACACUGAAGAGCAGUAAGCAAGAAGUGAAGGAUGCAAAACUGCACUUUUCCCAUGGCCUGAGAAUGACUCCCUCCCUGGCUUAGGGCAGCCACAGGUAUGCUGUUAAUUUGAAGUCCUCUUGCCAGAAGGCUAUAAAAUGUCUUUUCAUCUUCUGUUACAUCAGAAUCCAGCAAAUAAGAAGACUGUUAUUACAAAGGCAGCAACACUGAAAAAAGGUUUCCUUUGCUCUGAAAACCUGGGUUAAGGACUUCUGCUGCCUCUCUGUAACUUACAGGAUGCUGAACAGUGUUGGAGAGGAAAAUUCACUGAAUUCCUUUAGAUAAAGAGAAAGUAAGUUUGAUGCAACACCAAAGUGGGAUGUCACUAUGAGCCACCUGAUAAAUCUUCUCUUAAACAUGGUGGUAAUUUGCUCUCAAAGGUGAAUGCCUGUGUUCUUUCAGCACAGCUGCUGCAAUAUUUAGCACUCUAAUAAAACAUCUUGCUUGUGCUUUUUGAACUAAACAGAAAAGAUCCGUGAAUGUCAGGAGUGAAAGAUGUGAGGUGCUAAAUACAUCAUAAGAGAGGAAAACACAGCUGAGUCUGAGGAUGCUCAAGAAAGCAGCCACAUGAAAGGACUUCCAAAUCCUCAUGCUGCUUCUCAUGAAAUAAAGGAUUCUGCUUGACUUCUUUGGGUGCACUCUGACGUGAUUUUCUUCAAGAAGGUAAAUUAUGGUUUUGUGCCAGUAAGAUAAAGACCUCGUGACUGUGAGACAAGGCAAAGGAGGACGCAUCUGUGAAGGUGAUUCAGCUUGUGUUCAGCAUACCUCUUAGUGACCUAGGCAUUCUUCCUAAUGUUGUUGAGCUGUAGCUCUUUCUACAUCUUCAGAAAUUGAUAGGCAUCAGGUAUGUGAAGAAUAUGUUCUAAGUCAGUUAUGGUAGAGGCAGUAAGGCAUCCUCACCUGCUCAUUUUACAGGAAGAAAAAAACCUCUCAACAAUAGAAACCACCAUGUGAGUGUUGACAUCCUGCUUAUGAACCAAUAUUGUCACAAGCAAUAGGCUUGGAGAGAGCAGGCCAAUCAAUGAGUACGAACUGACUUACACUGAGCUAAAAUUAGGUCCAAUAUCCUGAUUAAGUUAUUACAAUUAACUAAAUAAAUACACACUCUGGGUUAGUUAUUUUUGUAGUACCAUUGUGCCUGGAGGCCACAUCAGAGACUGAGAGCCAUCCAUGCUAAGCACUACAAAUACAUCCAGUUAAGAUCCAGCCUCAGUCCUGAGCAACUUGCUGUUCAUAUAGACACAGGAAACUAAGGGCUGCAGACAGGAAUUGUUCUCUGUUAGCUCUGUGUCGCAGGAACAGGCCCACAGAGGUCAACUCUGUGUAAGAAUUGCUUGUCAGGAGUGAGAAGCAAAUAGAGAAUCUCAGUAUCCACUUCAAGACUCUGCCCAUCCUUUCUCUGGCACAAACUCCUUCCUUGCCAUAAGCUUUCUCCUGCCCAGCUCUGAAGUCUUGUUUCUUUACAGGACAUUCCUUGGUUUUCAAACCCAGCACAGUGCAGACUCGCUGGAGCUUCUGCAUUCUCCUGGCUGGAGAUGAGCCUCUGUCCUCUCCAUCUCACCAGGGUGAAACACCUCAAAGCUGUAUUGAGAAAUGAUGUUUCACCAGCAGAAAUUCAAGGCCUGGAAUCCCUGUCUCUGGCAACUGCUUUACUUGAUUUAAGAGCUCCUGUAUACUAUUUCUCAAAUCCAGCACCAAGCUUUGCCUCAUUUGUGUACAUUUGGAAAUCAGGGCUGGCAAAUGCGUUUACCUGAAACCCUGCAGCUGUUGGAGCCAUACCGUGAACAGAAGGGAAAGGCUUGCAUGGCCUGGGCUGCUCCCUGCUUGAAGGCUCCUGUCAGAGAAGGCAAAAAAGGGAGUCCUCUGUGUUUGGUGAAUUCAAGAGCCAGGUUUCCAAGCAUGGAAGGAGCCUUCAGGAACACAAGUGAGGUUUUGAUCCCUGGCCCCAGAGUCAUCCAUCUUGGGCAGCUUUCUGGUUUUAUUUCACGCAAGUGGGCGACGGUGAGACGGGGACUGCAGCUGUCAAAGCAGACAUCUCUGCAGCCUUUCAGCAAGACAGGGCGUGAUUUCAAAAGGGACUUGAAUAGUGGUCCUGCAUCCCUUGUAAAUGACCUAGCCUUUUGCCAGUGGAAGCCCCAGCGCUCUGAAGCAGCAGCACCUCCUCGGUUACAGUGAUAAGCACAGGGGACAGAGGAGCUCGGGUUCCCAGAGGAUAUUUUCAGCUCUCAGGCCUGUGUUGGAGUUGGGGCAUUGGUUCAUUCUGUGAUACUGAGACUUGUUUUCCUGCUCCUCUUUUGCCUUUCCUGAGCUCCCACUGAAAGACAGUGCUGGUUCCAACACCUCUGCCUUUCCCAGCUCCUUUCUGGGUAUUUGGGUCUCAGAAGUGGAGUAUGCAGCUGCACAUGGCCACAGCAUCCCUGAAUCCAGAUUGUCACUGUUGAGAGAAGUCAUCAAUCAGUGAAAAAUGUUUUCCAUUCUCAGUUCCAUGUCCCAUCAAUGGAAAGUUUGCAGCUCACCCAUGCUGACAUAGCUGGGGCUAUGCAUUUGCUGGUGUGAACAGGAACACCGUAGCUGUUUUUCUGUUUCCUGCAGUUGGACACAGUGAAAAUGUGAUCUGGGCCUUCCACAGCGCUAUUUGCUGACACUCUCCUUAGAGACGUCAUUUGGGAAGAACAACAAUUCUUCAAGGAACUUCCUUGCAGAAAAGGUUGUGGUUGUCUUUCCAUCUCUGAAAAUUAAAACUGU